GACGAACGCUGGCGGCGUGCUUAACACAUGCAAGUCGAACGGGCCUGUCUUCUUUUUUGGGGGUGGGUUGAGUGGCGAACGGGUGAGUAUCACGUGAGUAACCUGCCCUUCGGUCCUGGAUAACCGCUUGAAAGGGCGGCUAAUACGGGGUGGUCCGGUUGGUCCGCAUGGGCUGGUCGGGAUAGAUUCACUGUUUUUGGUGUUUCGGCGGGGGAUGGGCUCGCGGCCUAUCAGCUUGUUGGUGGGGUGAUGGCCUACCAAGGCGGUGACGGGUAGCCGGCCUGGGAGGGUGGGCGGCCACACUGGGCCUGAGAUACGGCCCAGACUCCUGCGGGAGGCAGCAGUGGGGGGUAUUGCACAAUGGGCGGAAGCCUGAUGCAGCGACGUCGCGUGAGGGAUGGAGGCCUUCGGGUUGUGAACCUCUGUUUCCGGUGGUGAAGGCCCUGUCCGUGUGGUGGGGUUGACGGUAGCCGGGGAUGAAGCGCCGGCUAACUACGU
rnacentral:rRNA from 1 species